UAACGAAUAUUCCGCAAUGGGCGCAAGCCUGACGGAGCGACGCCGCGUGCAGGACGAAGUCCUUCGGGAUGUAAACUGCUUUUUGGGGAAAGGAAACACGACCGUACCCGGAAUAAGCCACGGCUAACUCUGUGCCAGCAGCCGCGGUAAUACAGAGGUGGCAAGCGUUGCUCGGAAUCACUGGGCUUAAAGGGCAUGUAGGCGGCCGAGUAAGCAUUUUGUGAAAUCCCCCGGCUCAACCGGGGAAUCGCUUGAUGAACUGCUCGGCUCGAGGGAGACAGGGGCGACUGGAACUCUGGGUGGAGCGGUGAAAUGCGUAGAUAUCCAGGGGAACGCCGGUGGAGAAAUCGGGUCGCUGGGUCUUACCUGACGCUGAGGUGCGAAAGCCAGGGGAGCGAACGGGAUUAGAUACCCCGGUAGUCC
rnacentral:rRNA from 1 species